rnacentral:rRNA from 1 species
UACGUAGGGUGCAAGCGUUAAUCGGAAUUACUGGGCGUAAAGGGCUCGUAGGCGGCCAACUAAGUCAGACGUGAAAUCCCUCGGCUUAACCGGGGAACUGCGUCUGAUACUGGAUGGCUUGAAUUCGGGAGAGGGAUGCAGAAUUCCAGGUGUAGCGGUGAAAUGCGUAGAUAUCUGGAGGAAUACCGGUGGCGAAGGCGGCAUCCUGGACCGAGAUUGACACUGAUGAGCGAAAGCCAGGGGAGCAAACGGG